rnacentral:rRNA from 1 species
AGUUGAUUAUGGCUCAGAACGAACGCUGGCGGCGCGCUUAAGCAUGCAAGUCGAGCGUGAUUGGUUAGCUGCUAAUCAUGAAAGCGGCGGACUGGUGAGUAACGCGUGGGUGACGUACCCUUAUGAUGGGGAUAGCUCCUAGAAAUAGGAGAUAAUACCGAAUACGCUUGGUGUUGUCAGAGGACACCAAGGAAAGGUUCUUUUGAACCGCAGAAGGAGCGGCCCGCGUACUAUUAGCUAGUUGGUGAGGUAACGGCCCACCAAGGCGACGAUAGUUACCCGGCCUGAGAGGGUGAACGGGCACAUUGGGACUGAGAUACGGCCCAGACUCCUACGGGAGGCAGCAGCUAAGAAUAUUCCGCAAUGCACGAAAGUGUGACGGAGCGACGCCGCGGUGGACGAUGAAGGCCGGAAGGUUGUAAAGUCCUUUUUAAUAUGAGGAAUAAGGAAGGUGAGAGAAACGCCUUCUGGUGACUGUAGUAUUAGAAUAAGGGGCGGCUAAUUACGUGCCAGCCGCUGC